rnacentral:rRNA from 1 species
UACGUAGGGUGCGAGCGUUAAUCGGAAUUACUGGGCGUAAAGCGUGCGCAGGCGGUUUUGUAAGUCUGACGUGAAAUCCCCGGGCUCAACCUGGGAAUUGCGUUGGAGACUGCAAGGCUGGAGUCUGGCAGAGGGGGGGUAGAAUUCCACGUGUAGCAGUGAAAUGCGUAGAGAUGUGGAGGAACACCGAUGGCGAAGGCAGCCCCCUGGGUCAAGACUGACGCUCAUGCACGAAAGCGUGGGGAGCAAACAGG